GACGAACGCUGGCGGCGUGCUUAACACAUGCAAGUCGAACGAAGUGGCGCACGGGUGAGUAACGCGUAAUCAACCUGCCCCUCAGAGGGGGACAACAGUUUGAAACGAAUGCUAAUACCGCAUACUGAAGGAGGGGAUUGCGUCGGAUUAGCUAGUUGGAGGGGUAACGGCCCACCCAGGCGAUGAUCAGUAGCCGGUCUGGUAGGAUGAACGGCCCCAUUGGGACUGAGACACGGGCCCGACUCCCACGGGAGGCAGCAGGUGGGAAUCUUCCGCAAUGGACGAAAGUCUUACGAAGCAACGCCGCGGGAGUGAUGACGGCCUUCGGGUUGUAAAGCUCUGUUAAUCGGGACGCGGUACCGGAAGAGAAAGCCACGGCUAACUACGUGCCAGCCGCCGCGGUAAUAC
rnacentral:rRNA from 1 species